UACGUAGGGUGCAAGCGUUACCCGGAAUUAUUGGGCGUAAAGAGCUCGUAGGCGGUUUGUCGCGUCUGCUGUGAAAACUGGGGGCUCAACCCCCAGCCUGCAGUGGGUACGGGCAGACUAGAGUGCGGUAGGGGAGAUUGGAAUUCCUGGUGUAGCGGUGGAAUGCGCAGAUAUCAGGAGGAACACCGAUGGCGAAGGCAGAUCUCUGGGCCGUAACUGACGCUGAGGAGCGAAAGCGUGGGGAGCAAACAGG
rnacentral:rRNA from 1 species